rnacentral:rRNA from 1 species
GACGAACGCUGGCGGCGUGCUUAACACAUGCAAGUCGAACGCUGAAGCCCAGCUUGCUGGGUGGAUGAGUGGCGAACGGGUGAGUAACACGUGAGUAACCUGCCCCCUUCUUUGGGAUAACGCCCGGAAACGGGUGCUAAUACUGGAUAUUCACUGGCUUUCGCAUGGGGGUUGGUGGAAAGGUUUUUUCUGGUGGGGGAUGGGCUCGCGGCCUAUCAGCUUGUUUGCGGGGUGAUGGCCUACCCAGGCUUUGACCGCGGGUGCGGGUGCGAGGUUGACCGGUGCUUCUUUACCCGCUACCCUCACCAAAACCCAUACCGGAGGCUGGAUUUUUUUUUUUUUGAGGUUUACACCCAAAAGGGAUUCUUCCCUCCCCCGUGAUGGCUGCCUGCGUUUUUCCCCCAUUCUUAAUUCUCCCCUGCUGCGCCCUCAACUAAGGGGUUGGGGCGGUAUUUGAGUCUUAAGAUAACCGGCCCCCCUCUCAGGCGGGCCGCCACCCAAUAGCCCUUGUUG